UCCAGGCCUUUCAGAGCCACUGACACACCAGCAGCACAACGAUGAUGUCACUGACUCUACUGCUGACCAUCCUGGGGCUCCUGGUUCAGGGUUCCUCAGCAGAUAUCAUCCUGACUCAGACUCCGGUUUCCCAGUCUGUUGCUCCAGGACAUACUGUGUCCAUCAGAUGUAAAGCCAGUUCCAGUGCUGGUACCUGCCUCAACUGGUACCUUCAGAAGGACAAACAAUCUCCAAAACUUUUAAUAUACUAUGCUUCAUCUCGUCAGUCUGGGAUUCCAGAUCGUUUUAGUGGAAGUGGAUCUGGAACUGAUUACACUUUAACAAUCAGUGGCAUUCAGGCUGAAGAUGGAGGAGAUUAUUACUGUCAGCAGUGUAAUAGCUUCCCGUUCACACAGUGAUACAACGUCGUACAAAAACCUCUCGGCUGCAGAGGAACUGAUCCACAGCUGCUGUUAAACAGAA